rnacentral:rRNA from 1 species
AAGCGUCGUAAGUUGAAUUUCGGGGUUAGUAGGUUGGUCAUGCCUCUGGUAUGUACUGGUCUCACUGAUUCCUCCUUCCUGAUGAACCGUAAUGCCAUUAAUUUGGUGUUGCGGGGAAUUUGGACUGUUACUUUGAAAAAAUUAGAGUGUUUAAAGCAAGCUAACGCUUGAAUACAUUAGCAUGGAAUAAUGAAAUAGGACGUUCGAUCCUAUUUUGUUGGUUUCUAGGAUUGACGUAAUGAUUAAUAGGGAUAGUUGGG